AUUGAACGCUGGCGGCAGGCCUAACACAUGCAAGUCGGGCGCGCGGCGGACGGGUGAGUAAUGUAUGGGGAUCUGCCUGAUGGAGGGGGAUAACUACUGGAAACGGUAGCUAAUACCGCAUAGCAUCCGAUGAACCCAUAUGGGAUUAGCUUGUAGGUGAGGUAACGGCUCACCUAGGCGACGAUCCCUAGCUGGUCUGAGAGGAUGAUAAGACACACUGUGACUGAGACACGGCCCAGACUCCUACGGGAGGAAGCAGUGGUGAAUACUGCACAAUGGGCUGAAGCAUGAUGCAGCCAUGCCGCGUGUAUGAAGAAGGCCUUCGGGUUGUAAAGUACUUUCAGUCGGGAGGCGUUACCGGCAGAAGAAGCACCGGCUAACUCCGUGCCAGCCGCCGCGGGAAUUC
rnacentral:rRNA from 1 species